GACGAACGCUGGCGGCGUGCUUAACACAUGCAAGUCGAACGAUGAAGCCUAGCUUGCUAGGUGGAUUAGUGGCGAGCGGGUGAGUAAUACGUGAGUAACCUACCUUUAACUCUGGGAUAAGCCCGGGAAACUGGGUCUAAUACCGGAUACGACCAAUCUCCGCAUGGGGUGUUGGUGGAAAGCGUUAUGUAGUGGUUAUAGAUGGGCUCACGGCCUAUCAGCUUGUUGGUGAGGUAACGGCUCACCAAGGCGACGACGGGUAGCCGGCCUGAGAGGGUGACCGGCCACACUGGGACUGAGACACGGCCCAGACUCCUACGGGAGGCAGCAGUGGGGAAUAUUGCACAAUGGGCGCAAGCCUGAUGCAGCGACGCCGCGUGAGGGAUGACGGCCUUCGGGUUGUAAACCUCUGUUAGCAGGGAAGAAGAGAGAUUGACGGUACCUGCAGAGAAAGCGCCGGCUAACUACGUGCCAGCAGCCGCGGUAAUACGUAGGGCGCGAGCGUUGUCCGGAAUUAUUGGGCGUAAAGAGCUUGUAGGCGGUUUGUCGCGUCUGCUGUGAAAGGCCGGGGCUUAACUCCGUGUAUUGCAGUGGGUACGGGCAGACUAGAGUGCAGUAGGGGAGACUGGAAUUCCUGGUGUAGCGGUGGAAUGCGCAGAUAUCAGGAGGAACACCGAUGGCGAAGGCAGGUCUCUGGGCUGUAACUGACGCUGAGAAGCGAAAGCAUGGGGAGCGAACAGG
rnacentral:rRNA from 1 species